UCCGGGAAGGUGAGUACUUCACCUGAUCCGAGGUCACCAUAGAAAAUUUGGGUUUUGGCAGAAGCACACUGAGAACCUGUAACGAGAGAUAUUACUACGUUCAGGACCCAGCGGCGCCGCCACUGAUUUUAGAGCCUGCCAUUACUGACAUAGACUCAAUACCAAGCUGUGCUUGAGGGUUGAAAUGACGCUCGAACAGGCAUGCCCCCCGGAAUACCAAGGGGCGCAAUGUGCGUUCAAAGAUUCGAUGAUUCACUGAAUUCUGCAAUUCACAUUACUUAUCACAUUUCUCUGCGUUCUUCAUCGAUGCCGGAACCAAGAGAUCCGAUGUUGAAUGUUUCAACUAUUAUAUAGUACUCAUACAACAUUAAUAAAAAAAGUUUAAUUAUCCUCUGGCGAGCAUACAAGGCCCGAAGGCAGCUCGCCAAAACAACAAAGUAAUAAUACACAAGGGUGGGAGGUCAACCCUUUCGGGCAUGAACUCUGACCUGAUCCUUCCGCAGGUUACCUACUGAAACCUUGUUACAACUAUUACUUCCGAA
rnacentral:misc_RNA from 1 species